AAGAACGCUGGCGGCAUGCCUAACACAUGCAAGUCGAACGAGACCUUCGGGUCUAGUGGCGCACGGGUGCGUAACGCGUGGGAACCUGCCUUUAGGUUCGGAAUAACUCAGAGAAAUUUGAGCUAAUACCGGAUGAUGUCUUCGGACCAAAGAUUUAUCGCCUAAGGAUGAGCCCGCGUUGGAUUAGCUAGUUGGUGGGGUAAAGGCCUACCAAGGCGACGAUCCAUAGCUGGUCUGAGAGGAUGAUCAGCCACACUGGGACUGAGACACGGCCCAGACUCCUACGGGAGGCAGCAGUGGGGAAUAUUGGACAAUGGGCGAAAGCCUGAUCCAGCAAUGCCGCGUGAGUGAAGAAGGCCUUCGGGUUGUAAAGCUCUUUUACCCGGGAUGAUAAUGACAGUACCGGGAGAAUAAGCUCCGGCUAACUCCGUG
rnacentral:rRNA from 1 species